GUAGACGAAUUUAGCCGAGAGCCGGCGAAAGCUGUUGAAGGCAUUAGCGCGCGGAAAGAUGUUCGAUUCAGGCGGUAACCGCGUGACUUCGGAAUUUGGUUCUCUAGACCUACAAAAUGCAAACAGAGGAGAAGGCGUAACCCUCCAAUAUCGACAGUUCAGAAUGUUAGCUGUUAAUAUUCUAAGCGCACCGAGAAUCAGCACCGCUUACCCAGCGUACGGUUUAGUCUCUGUUUUCUAAUUAUCCCCUUCAAAAAUUUUAAAUAAGCAAAAUACUAUAUGAAUUUCUACUUCUUAUUUGCAAAAGUCUUGAAUACAAUAUACUGUUUCACAAAGUCACAAUCAGGUGCCAACUGCGGUCGCGUUCUGCCUUCCACUAGAGGGACAUCUUGGGUCGUGUUUGUAACUGCCAAGAAAUACUAGAUAUUUCCUGCACAUACUGUCAAAAUACGUAUCAGGACCAGGGAAGACCCUGCCCCUCUUCUGAGCCUGACUGGAGGAAGGCCUUGCAAUUAUCCUAGGUCUGAAGCACUGUGGUUCUCUACACGGCCAUGCUUAUAUCAACAAUAUACAUUUAUCCAGGGCUUCAUCUGCCUUUCUCACAGAGGGUCUCAUUCUGUUGCCCGGGCUGACCUCAAACUUAUGCCUUCCUUCUUCGAUCUCCCAAAUCGAGGGAUUACAGGACUCAUUGAAGAGAAAAAAAUGUAUUUAUGGCUGCGAGAAGCUGUUAAUCUCUGCAGUUACGACUGCGCACGGCUCCACAGCAGCUGCAAGAUGGGCGUUCUCUCUCCUUCAUCUUUCCAGAGAAACACCCCCUCGAGUCUCAGCCGAUUAGGCCCUGGUGCUGGUUUCAUGAGCACCUUGGUUAAGAACCACUGAGCAAGAUUUCUUCAGCAGCCUCUGAAGCCAGCAUCAUCCAUCCUGGCUAGUUGGGGAUCUGGUUAACUCAAAACUUCUUGGCAAUCAAAAACAGCACUUGUGGAGGAAACAUCAAGAAGCAAACCACCCUUGAAAAAUAGGAAAAUGCCUUAUUUUAUGGUUUUGGCUGGACAACUGAUUCCUAAUAAUAAAAAUAAAGGACAAGGUGGGGUGGAGAGGUGGGCACACCUUUAAUCCCAGCACUUGAGAAGCAAAGGCAGGAGCAUUUCUGUGA